rnacentral:rRNA from 1 species
AGGACGAACGCUGGCGGCGUGCUUAACACAUGCAAGUCGAGCGGUAAGGCCUUUCGGGGUACACGAGCGGCGAACGGGUGAGUAACACGUGGGUGAUCUGCCCUGCACUCUGGGAUAAGCCUGGGAAACUGGGUCUAAUACCGGAUAUGACCUGCUCUCGCAUGGGGGUGGGUGGAAAGCUCCGGCGGAGAAGGAUGAGCUCGCGGCCUAUCAGCUAGUUGGCGGGGUAACGGCCCACCAAGGCGACGACGGGUAGCCGGCCUGAGAGGGUGACCGGCCACACUGGGACUGAGACACGGCCCAGACUCCUACGGGAGCAGCAGUGGGGAAUAUUGGACAAUGGGCGAAAGCCUGAUCCAGCAACGCCGCGUGAGGGAUGACGGCUUGGUGUAACUCUUCAGCAGGACGAAGACGAAAGUAGACGGUACCUGCGAGAAGAAGGAACCGGACCGAACUACGUAGCCAGCACGCCGC